rnacentral:lncRNA from 1 species
CACAGCCACAGCAACACGGGAUCUGAGCCGCGUCUGCAACCCACACGGCAACGUGGGAUCCUUAACCCACUGAGCAAGGCCAGGGUUCAAACCUACAACCUCAUGGUUCCCAUACAUUUUCAGCUACAUUACCACUGAACCACAGUGGGAAAUCCUAUCCUGUCUUCUAGAAGGAAUAAAAAUGACGGAAGGGACAUCAUCCACUUAUUGUUCAGGAGGUGACCCAGAAAUCGUAAAUUUCACAUCUCAUAUUCCACUGGUGAGACUUACUUGUCUGGUCACACCCAAUAUUACGGGAGACUGGGAAAUGUAGCAGCAUGCCCAUUGCUCUGUUAAAAUUUAGGGUCAGGGCUCAUAAAAUUAAGACAAAAGGAGGAACUAAUACUGGUAGUUCAUAAUUUCCACUGCAUAGGAUUUUAAUAUUUACCUUCUGGUUCUGUAUAUCAUCUUGCAACACUCUUACAGUGUUUUCAAGUUCAAAAUAGUUCAUCUUCAGAACCAUUUUUCAUAUGCUUAAAAAUCAGAGCAAAUUUUUUAUUAAAUAGUGAUAAUUUAUUCAUUUCUUUAUUGCAUACUUGAUGGACUCAAGGCUUACAUAGUGCUCUACAAAUGCAAUAAAGAUGGUUCUUGCCAUCCAGAUACUGAGCUUUAUCAGGGAGAGCACUGGUGAUUACAGCAAAUGCCCCUUGAUGCUAAGCAUGACAGCAGGGCAGUGAGGCAAACACCACUCUCAGCCAGUAACCAGGGAGGGCAUCACUGAAGAGGUCAUCUUGGACCUAGGUUUUGUAGGAUGGCCAUGAUUUUGAUUAGUGUCAGUAUUAUGAGAAGUCAAAGCAAAGCUAUGAAAGCAGAAAAAGAGAAUUUCUAAUCUAACAGGAAGGGAAGAUUCAGGCUGAGGGCAAUGAGGGGAAGGCAGGAAGCCAGAUCUUGCAAAGGCCUUGAAACAGAGCCUGGUAUGAUAUUUCUGAGUUUUGUUUUGAUCUCUUGCUUUUGGGCUGAGGGUGAAGUGAAAUGAAAAGGUCUUUAUCCUCUGAAGGUCUUGAUCAUGGCAGUAUUUGGGAAAAUUCUUUGGAUAGUGUUAGGACAAAUAAAAUGGAGGUGGGGAAGGCAAAGCUUUGCAGAACUUGGAUAAUAAAAACCAGAUGGAUGGACCCAGUGAGAUUCUCAUACUAAGGGAAGUAAGUCAGGCAGAGAAAAACAAAUACUAUAUGAGAUCACUUACGUGUGGAAUAUAAAACAUGACACAAAUCAACAUAUCAACGAAACAUAAGCAGACUCACAGACAUAAAGAACAGACUUGUGGUUGCCAUGGGGGAGGGAUAGAUUGGGAGUUUAGGAUUAAUAUAUACACACUACUAUAUAUAAAAUAUAUAGUCAACAAGGUCCUACUGUAUAGUACAGGGAACAAUAUUCAAUAUCCUAUGAUAAACCAUAAUGGAAAAGAAAACGAAAAAGAAUAUAUAUAUAUAUGUGUAACCGAAUCAAUCACUUUACUAUACAGUAGAAAUUAACAUAUUAUAAAUGAACUUUAAUUCCACCAAAUUUUUUUCUAAAAGACUUACCUAGGGAUUUCUGUGUCUUGUUAACUCCAUAAAAAAUAUAAUUCUGAACAUUAAUGUGAGCAAGUAGAAUUUUGACAAGAUUGAGAACAAGAAGUGGAGAGAGAAGUAGAUCUGCUGUAACAAAGGACCACUCACUGGGGGUGUGGAUGGGGGCUAACACAACAGUAAUAUGUUGUCUCACAGCCCUGAUGGCUGGAGAUGCAAGAUCAUGGUGUCCACCAGAUCGUCCUUCUGAGGCCAUGAGGAUGGGUGUCCACCCCAGCCCCUGUCCUGGAUUUGCAGGUGGCUGUCUUCUCCAUGGCCCCCUCCCUCCGUAGGUGUCUGAGUCCAAAUCUCCCCUUUGCAUAACGACACAAGUUUUGCUGCCUUAGGGCCCAUCUUAAUGACCUACUUUAAUCUGAUUACUUCUGAAAGGCUAUCUUCAAACGACACCACACUCUGAGGUAGGGGUUAGGACUCCAGGACAUAUUUGGGGGAAGCAGUUAAAACCAUAACAUGUCUUAUGGUCAUUAAUAUUUACAUGGUGUCUCCUUCAUGCAUGGAAUGUCCAGAUUUCUCCCUUCUUUCUUCCCCCCUCUCUCCAUCAUUUCUUUCUUUCCUUUUUUAUUUUUUUAUUUUUAAAUUUUUUUUCCUUUUGGGGAAGCACCUGUGGCACAUGGAGUUUCCCAGGCUAGGGGGUUGAAUUGGAGCUACAGCUGCCGGCCUAUGCCACAGCCACAGCAAUGCCAGACUGCUGAUCCGAGCUACCUCUUCGACCUACACUCACAGCAAUGCCGGAUCCUUAACCCACUUAGCAGGGCCAGGGAUGAAAUCUGCAUCCUCAUCAAUACUAGUCAGGUUUGUUAUCCCUGAGCCAUGACAGGAACUCUAUUCUUUUUAAAAAAAAAUUUCAUUAAAGUAUAGUUGAUUUACAAUAUUGUGCCAAUUUCUGCUGUACAGCAUAGUGACCCAGUCAUAUAUAUAUAUAUAUAUGUACAUUCUUUGUCUCAUACUAUCUUCCAUCGUGUUCUAUCCUGAGACAGUGGAUAGAGUUCCCUGUGCUGUACAGUAGGACCUCAUUGCUUAUCCAUUCUAAAUGUAACGGUUUGCAUCUACCAACCCAAAUUUCCCAUCCAUCCCUCUGCUCCCUUGGCAACCAUAAGUCUGUUCUUUGUGUGAGUCUGUUUCUAUUUUGUAGAUGGGUUCAUUUGUGCCACAUUUUAUUUUAUUUUAUUUUGUUUUUGUGUGUGUUUUUAGGGCUACACCUGUAGCACACAGAGGUUCCCAGGCUAGGGGUUGAAUCAGAGCUGCAGCCGCCGGCCUACGCCACAGCCACAGUAACUCAGGAUCCGAGCCAUGUCUGCGACCUACACCACAGCUCACGGCAACGCCAGAUCCUUAACCCACUGAGCAAGGCAGGGGAUUGAACCUGCAACCUCAUGGUUACUACUCGGGUUCGUUAACCACUGAGCCACGAUGGGAACUCCUGUGCCAUAUUUUAGAUUCCACAUAUAUGUGAUAUCAUAUGGUAUUUGUCUCUCUCCAACUUACUUCACUUAGUGUGAGAAUUUCUAGAUGCGUCCAUGUUACUGGCAAAUGCCAUUAUUUCAUUCUUUUCAUAUUUCUUCUUUUCAUCAGGGCACUAGUACUCCUGGAUUAGGGGCCUAACCUUCCCCAGUAAUGACCUCAUCUAAACUAGUUACAUCUGCAAGGAUCCUGUUUCCCAAUUAAGUCACAUUCUGAAUUGUUACAGUCUAGGACUUGCACACUUACACCUCGAGCUUGGUCACCAGCCUUUAUGCCUUUGCUUGCAUUAACACAUCUCUAGUGACACCACAGUCUUUGACCACUUUAAUCAUCAAAUUCAGCUUAAAAACAGAGUGAGUUAUUUCCCUCCUGCUCCCCACCUCAAUGCUGUUAAAUUAACCAUUUAUCCUUCCUGCUAUUUUCCAUGCUGUCUUCUUUCCUCCUUUUGUUCUAAGUGGGACUUACUAUGCAAACUGUCUUAACACUCCCUUUUUUUACCUAACAUGUCUACAUUUCUACACACGGAUUUGAAUCAGUUUUUAAAAUAGCAGCAGGAGCUCCCUGAUGGCUCAGUUGAUUAAGGAUCUGGCAUUGUCAUUGCUGUGACAAGGGUUUGAUGCCUUGCCUGGGAACUUCCGCACAACCUGGCCAAAAAAAAUUAAAACGGCAGCAAAAUAACAGCCUUUGUACCAAACUAGCGGAUGUGGCCACCAGGUGGCAUUAGCGCACAAGCAGUGUCAUUGGGAGGGCCCACACAGACGUGCAGGGGUGGAAAGGCAGCCCUGACACCUCCACCUUCCAAAGGCAGGGAGAGAGAGAGUCUGGGGGGGAGACCCUGGGGGCAGAGAAUGAUGAAGAGCUGCGGUGGCUUAGGGGCUUUUACAGUGCAGGGUCGGUCUUCCCCGUGGCUAGCAGGUUUUGGGUGAGGUUUCCCUGGGCAGGAAAGCAGGGGGACUCAGCUGGCUAAACAUCUGAUCUUUGGAGCUGAAUUUCAAACAACUGGAUUUGGGAGCCAAUCAGGUUUUUGAGUUAUUGGGUCCUGCCUGCUGUGAGGAAGAAAAGAAGAUGCAAUUUUGUAGGGGCCACCUUUAGUUCAUCUGUGUAACAACUAGCUCCCUAUUGAAACACAUUUUAUUAGUUUCUCCCCAGCAAAAAAUUGUCACAGACAGGUCAGAAGAAAAAUGACUAACCAAUUUACAUCCUAUAUGACAAAAGGCUACUUUUAUUAAUGUAAUCAGGAUUCUUGGCAAGUAGGAUAAAAUGGUAAAGUAGCUCAAGGUCAUCCAAUCAACCCUGAGAAGUGACAGACACUGGAAGGAACUGGCUGUUAUAAGUGAGAUGACAACUGUGCCCUGGGGGGAAAGAUGGGAGCUGGUGAGGGACAUGGGAGGCCGUGGCCUGGGAGGGUCUGGAGAAGCUGUAACUCAGCUCUUGCCUCCCUUACCUCACUUAGGAAUGGGGAGACCCCUGGCCUCCCAGGAGUGUGAGGCACUGGCAAAGGAGACAGAAGCCAGCAAAGUAAGGAAACGAUGAAGACAGGUGCAGGGUGACAGGUGCCUCCUGAUCCCCUGUCAGCACAGGUCCUCUGGGCCCUGAUGCCUCUCCUUGAGGUUUGACCCUCCUUGUUCUCCAACUGUCCAAAGAGGACACAGUUGAGGAUGUGACUUUCAGAACUUCCUCAGUACACAGUGCAGGGCAAGAGAACUGACUCCCCAGUGAAAUGUGAUCCUGAGGUUCCAGGAAAAUACUCCUCAAAGAGAAAGUUAAAAUGAAUUAAAGCAGGAGUGUGGUGCAGUGGACUAAUGACCUGGUGUUGCCACAGCUGUGGCUCACAUUCAAUCCUUGGCCUGAGAACUGCCAUAUGCCACUGAUGCAACUGAAAAAGAUAAAAUAAAAUAGAAUAGAAUAAAAUAAAUAAAUGUGAACAGCACAUGCCACCCUAAGUAGAUUUAUUGAAAUGGAUGAGCCAAUAUAUUUUAAAUGAGUAUAACAUGUAUUCAAAAGAGUUGAAGAAGAAAAAGGUAACAAAAUGACAAGAAAUUAUUUUAGAAAACAAGUGAUACAUGAUAUGCUAAAAGGUUGGGAGAAUAGAAUUAUCAAAAUCCAGAUAAGAGAAAUCCCCAUGGGGAACUGAGGGGCCAUAGGGUACCAGGACACUUAAGAAAAUACUAAUACUUAGACACACUACAGUAAAACUGCAGAAAAGCAAAGAAAAACUAUGAAAAGAUUCCACACAAAAAAGUAAACCAUCCCAAAGGAACAAAAAUUAGACCAACAUGAGACUCCUCAACAGUAAUACUGGAUUCAAGAACAAUGGUGUAAUAAAUUUGUGCUUAAAAAUUUUUUUGCAUACUUCUUGCUAAGAAGUAUAGCCUACAAGCACAAAGGUGGAUAAAUCACAAUGUCACGCACUAAGAAAAAUUACAGAAUUUUUAAAGAAAUUACAGAAAUUAAGUAACCACCAGCCAGGUUAAGAAUACUGCUGGCCCUGAAGAAUCAUGCGUGUCUGACACAGUUCCUACUGUCAGAAAAGGCUUCCCCGCCCCUCCGGCGGGUUUUCCAGACUUUGGUGCAGCUAGAAACCCACCUUCGACUGAGCGCUCAGGCCUCGCCACAUCCUAGCUGCGGCCGAGCGACCCAGGGGCUGCGGCCUCACCCGGUCUCCGCUGCCUCGCCCCGGCGCACAGCGGGCAGCCUCUC